GCGCUCGUAGCUCAUCUGGAUAGAGUAACGGACUUCGAAUCCGUAGGUAGCUGGUUCGAAUCCAGUCGGGCGCA
rnacentral:tRNA from 1 species